CAGCUGGUGUGACAGAUGAUUUCUGCACAUUGAUCACAAACCUCAAGCUGAAAAAUAAUUGGAAAUGUAUUCAUCUGGAGUGUGUACAGCAGGCUCAACAACACCUAAUUCAAGCAGGAAAUCAGGUGGUGACGGUCUUUAAGAAAGAAGGAAUUCAUCAGGAAGGCAAUUGAAUUCAAUAGCAAGUUAAACAUACCUUCUGCAACAGACAGAACAGUGACAUGUGAAGGGAUAGACACAACAGCAAAGGACUAGCAGUUGAGCUAUCCUCCUCUCCAUGGUCUCCUCAGCCAGAUCUUCAAAGAUGUGAAUUCCCUCUGGCUUUAUUCUCCUUGCUGUCUUAAGAAUGGAAUCCUUCGCUUUGUAGCCGAUGAAUUUGCACACAACUGCUCUUGGCUUUGGGGUUCCAUCCUGUCUUCUUGGACAGCCAGUGAAAUGAGCAUGCUCAAUUUCAGGAACUGACUCAAAAUUAAGUUUUUAGACAAAGAAGUUCUUCACGUUCUCUCCAGUUUCUUCCAAGCUUUCACCAUCAUCUUCCAUUAAUCCUUCAAAAUGGAGAUUGUUCCUCCUACUUUGAUUUUACAAGUACACAGCCUUCUGUAGAUGUUUGUUGGCAAGUGCCUGAAGACUAGAGACAUUGGUGUUGAUUAACUUGAUCUUCUCUUCAUGGCUU